AUUGAACGCUGGCGGCAGGUUUAACAUAUGCAAGUCGAGCGGGGUGAUGGUGCUUGCACUAUCACUUAGCGGCGGACGGGUGAGUAAUGCUUAGGAAUCUGCCUAUUAGUGGGGGACAACAUCUCGAAAGGGAUGCUAAUACCGCAUACGUCCUACGGGAGAAAGCAGGGGAUCACUUGUGACCUUGCGCUAAUAGAUGAGCCUAAGUCGGAUUAGCUAGUUGGUGGGGUAAAGGCCUACCAAGGCGACGAUCUGUAGCGGGUCUGAGAGGAUGAUCCGCCACACUGGGACUGAGACACGGCCCAGACUCCUACGGGAGGCAGCAGUGGGGAAUAUUGGACAAUGGGGGGAACCCUGAUCCAGCCAUGCCGCGUGUGUGAAGAAGGCCUUAUGGUUGUAAAGCACUUUAAGCGAGGAGGAGGCUCUUUCGGUUAAUACCCAAGAUGAGUGGACGUUACUCGCAGAAUAAGCACCGGCUAACUCUGUGCCAGCAGCCGCCGUAA
rnacentral:rRNA from 1 species